rnacentral:siRNA from 1 species
UUGGCGACAUGUGUAUAUGCCU